rnacentral:lncRNA from 1 species
AACGACAACUACUGUACAUCAGAUUCCUGACUUAGGACAGGUGCAAACAUUUGCAGCGGGAUUAAACGUUUUAAUGGUACCAAACCUUCUCCCUUUUUCUGAAACAAUAGUAUAACAUCACAACAUAGAAGAAUACACGAUAAAAUAUCAAUUGGAAGGCUUAACUCAAUCAAAAACGUAAAUAAACACACUAUGAACGAAUAAAUUUGAUCUGCGAUACCUGAAUGCAAAUACAUAGUUAAAAAAAUAUUAGGGACAGACAUUCAAGGCCAAAAAACAAACAAACAAGUCCAAACUAAGCCAUGGCAAGACACCACCGCGAAAUAUUUAACAACUCACUUUUGAAAAAGUACGUAUUUUAAACUUUCUAUUCUGUCUUAAUCUAUUUUAGGGAACCCCAAAAAA